GGAUGAGCCCGCGUCGGAUUAGCUUGUUGGUGAGGUAACGGCUCACCAAGGCGACGAUCCGUAGCUGGUCUGAGAGGACGACCAGCCACACUGGGACUGAGACACGGCCCAGACUCCUACGGGAGGCAGCAGUGGGGAAUAUUGCGCAAUGGGGGAAACCCUGACGCAGCGACGCCGCGUGAGUGAGGAAGGUCUUCGGAUCGUAAAGCUCUGUCAGAAGGGAAGAAAUGCCAGGUAGUUAAUACCUGCCUGGUUUGACGGUACCUUCAGAGGAAGCACCGGCUAACUCCGUGCCAGCAGCCGCGGUAAUACGGAGGGUGCUAGCGUUGUUCGGAAUUACUGGGCGUAAAGGGCGCGUAGGCGGCCGGAUAGGUCAGAUGUGAAAGCCCACGGCUCAACCGUGGAAGUGCAUUUGAAACUGUCUGGCUUGAGUAUCGGAGGGGAGUGUGGAAUUCCCGGUGUAGAGGUGAAAUUCGUAGAGAUCGGGAGGAACACCGGUGG
rnacentral:rRNA from 1 species